rnacentral:rRNA from 1 species
GGAUGAACGCUGGCGGCGUGCCUACUACAUGCAAGUCGAGCGAACGGACGAGAAGCUUGCUACUCUGAUGUUAGCGGCGGACGGGUGAGUAACACGUGGAUAACCUACCUAUAAGACUGGGAUAACUUCGGGAAACCGGAGCUAAUACCGGAUAAUAUUUUGAACCGCAUGGUUCAAAAGUGAAAGACGGUCUUGCUGUCACUUAUAGAUGGAUCCGCGCUGCAUUAGCUAGUUGGUAAGGUAACGGCUUACCAAGGCAACGAUGCAUAGCCGACCUGAGAGGGUGAUCGGCCACACUGGAACUGAGACACGGUCCAGACUCCUACGGGAGGCAGCAGUAGGGAAUCUUCCGCAAUGGGCGAAAGCCUGACGGAGCAACGCCGCGUGAGUGAUGAAGGUCUUCGGAUCGUAAAACUCUGUUAUUAGGGAAGAACAUAUGUGUAAGUAACUGUGCACAUCUUGACGGUACCUAAUCAGAAAGCCACGGCUAACUACGUG